CUGAUUGGCCAUUAGACACUGGGCUUGCUCUAGUCUCCCUGCCUGCUGAGGCCAGAAGAGAGUGCUGGAUCUCCAGGAGCUAUAUGCAGAUAACUUGAGAAUCACUGAGCCAGGCCACAGUUCUCACAUGUCCUUCAAGUGGAUAUGAGAUUAACAUUCCUACAACAAAGGAUGUGGCACACUGUCUUCUCCAACCAACAAGAGUGGACUCCGUGAACUUCCCUUUCCUGAGAACACUUCCCUUGAAAUUGAGAUGUAACAGCUACUCGGCUUUGCCCAUGCAGGCAACUGCAAUAUUCUACAAUGGUAUUAUCUUGACUUUAAUGUGCCAAAGAGUCACCAAGGGAACCUUUUAAACUACAAAGACACCUGAGCAUGUCUCUGGAGACAGAGUCUACAGCACUGACAGGCUGCCACAUGGUACCAGAUGCUACUGUCGUGUGGCUCACGUGUGAAACCAACAAGAUGACCAAAAAUGCAAAGCAGAAAACUGCCCCAGAACACUGGGUUGUUUAAAAGACGGAGAGGAAAAUGGCUGGAAUUCAGACCUCUGUACUUGUGGCCUCUACUGGGCCCUAAUCCUAAACCUAACUAGAACAUGUUUAUAACUGUAGAAGA